rnacentral:tRNA from 1 species
UGCAUUGGCCGGGAAUCGAACCCGGGGCGCCCGUGUGGCAGGCGAGCAUUCUACCACUGAACCAAAAGC